rnacentral:misc_RNA from 1 species
UUUAUUGAUUCAAUUAAUUAAGAUUCGUACUAAACAGACCCAUGAAGAGGAUAAAAUGCUCUCUCUUGCACUUCAUAUUCAGAGAGUUCGAAUCUAAAAUCACUAGUUUAUCUCACACCUUGAAGGUAGCUUAGGUUUUGUAUUUUAACUAUCAAGUAAUGUGACAUUUCAGACACCAAAUCGAAGUUUAUUUUAUCAAAUUUAUAAGUUUAUGGUUAAUCCAUUGGAAUUUAUCAUGUAAAUUCUUUUUUUAUUUUCAAUAUGGAAAUAUUUUAUCAACGCAAGACGAAGGACAAACACACCCAGUGACAUUCGUCGAACACAAGCACCCAACUCUCGUGAUCAACUAACUCUACAUCACCAAAACGGUAACAAAGAGAGCAGCAGCCACAGUUCCAGAAAUAGCAAAUCUGUUCGAAAUGCCGCUGUUUUCAGCCGGUGAAGGAGCUUCAGACGGCGGCACCGAGAUUGUGGUGGGGGAAGGAGAAGACGCUACUGGAGCAGGAGAAGACUCUGGAGUACUAGGACGAGGAGGAGGAGGAGAUUCUGUAGAAGAAGAAUUCGGAGGAGUGCUACUCUUUUCAGGUGGCUGAGACUGAGGAGCGGCGGCUGGUUCCAGAUUUGAAGUCGAUGACUGCGGAGAUUUCACUGGAGAAGAUGCCGGUGAGGAUGCAGGAGGUUGAGCUAACGCAGAGGUCAUGAAAAUUGCCAUUAUCAUUAAAACAACAGCGCUGGAGCGAGCCAUUCUCAAAGAGAUGAAGACGCGCAAAAGUUACGGAGACCAGAACUUGUGCGCUGAACACUCGAAUCAG